rnacentral:rRNA from 1 species
UGCAGUCGAGCGGAGUGAUGGUGCUUGCACUAUCACUUACGGCGGACGGGUGAGUAAUGCUUAGGAAUCUGCCUAUUAGUGGGGGACAACAUUUCGAAAGGAAUGCUAAUACCGCAUACGUCCUACGGGAGAAAGCAGGGGAUCUUCGGACCUUGCGCUAAUAGAUGAGCCUAAGUCGGAUUAGCUAGUUGGUGGGGUAAAGGCCUACCAAGGCGACGAUCUGUAGCGGGUCUGAGAGGAUGAUCCGCCACACUGGGACUGAGACACGGCCCAGACUCCUACGGGAGGCAGCAGUGGGGAAUAUUGGACAGUGGGCGCAAGCCUGAUCCAGCCGUGCCGCGUGUGUGAAGAAGGCCUUAUGGUUGUAAAGCACUUUAAGCGAGGAGGAGGCUACUGAAGUUAAUACCUUCAGAUAGUGGACGUUACUCGCAGAAUAAGCACCGGCUAACUCUGUGCCAGCAGCCGCGGUAAUACAGAGGGUGCAAGCGUUAAUCGGAUUUACUGGGCGUAAAGCGCGCGUAGGCGGCUAAUUAAGUCAAAUGUGAAAUCCCCGAGCUUAACUUGGGAAUUGCAUUCGAUACUGGUUAGCUAGAGUGUGGGAGAGGAUGGUAGAAUUCCAGGUGUAGCGGUGAAAUGCGUAGAGAUCUGGAGGAAUACCGAUGGCGAAGGCAGCCAUCUGGCCUAACACUGACGCUGAGGUGCGAAACAUGGGGAGCAACAGGAUUAGAUACCCUGGUAGUCCAUGCCGUAAACGAUGUCUACUAGCCGUUGGGCCCUUUGAGGCUUUAGUGGCGCAGCUAACGCGAUAAGUAGACCGCCUGGGGAGUACGGUCGCAAGACUAAAACUCAGAUGAAUUGACGGGGGCCGCACAAGCGGUGGAGCUGGGGUUUAUUCGAUGCACGCGAAAACCUUACCUGGCUUGACAUAGAAGAACUUUCCAAAAAGGGAUGGUGCCUUCGGAACUA